CUUCCAAGAUAAACAUUCAAAAUUUUCACUCUCUCUCUUCCCUUGUUCAUUCACGGCCGAACACCUCUUCCCACUUCAACAUUUCAUUUUCAAAACCAAAACAUGAAGAUUCAAGGGCUAAUCAAGGUGAUUCCAAGCUUGUAAGAAGGUUUGGGAGUGAUUUCAAGCAAGAACAAGACCCAUAUCACCAUCUUCUAUCAAAAACCCAUCUAAUAAGGACGUGUAGAAAUCAAUCUCUGGAAUUGCGCUAUUUAAAAUACGCACCCAAAGGUACUUGAGUUCGGCUUCGGGAAAAUCAUGGCGUAUCUUGCGUUUGAUGAUGCAUGUUGUUUUGUUUAAAUAUGUUGGACAACUUUUAAACUAUCUGGGACUUUUGUAAUAAGAUCCGCGAGGAUCAAAACAACUUAACUUAUGUGGUUGUGUCGUAACCUUUAAAAUGUAAUGUUUAAUAAUUAUGUUUUAAAACA